GUGUCAGCCGCCGCGGUAAUACAGAGGGUGCAAGCGUUGUUCGGAAUCACUGGGCGUAAAGCGCGCGCAGGCGGAUGGUUGCGUCCGGAGUGAAAUUUCGCCGCUCAACGGCGAAGCUGCUUUGGAUACGGACCGUCUAGGGACCGGUAGAGGCUGGUAGAAUUGCAGGUGUAGCGGUGGAAUGCGUAGAGAUCUGCAAGAAUACCCGUGGCGAAGGCGGCCAGCUGGGCCGGAUCCGACGCUGAGGCGCGAAAGCGUGGGGAGCAAACAGGAUUAGAAACCCUCGUAGUCC
rnacentral:rRNA from 1 species